rnacentral:rRNA from 1 species
GACGAACGCUGGCGGCGUGCUUAACACAUGCAAGUCGAACGCGCCUGUCCUCUGGGUUUCUGGGGGGUGGGUGAGUGGCGAACGGGUGAGUAACACGUGAGUAACCUGCCCCCUUCUUCGGGAUAACGGUCUGAAAGGGCUGCUAAUACCGGGUAUUCACUGGUCUCCGCAUGGGGUCUGGUGGAAAGGUUUUUUUCUGGUGGGGGAUGGGCUCGCGGCCUAUCAGCUUGUUGGUGGGGUGAUGGCCCACCAAGGCUUUGACGGGUAGCCGGCCUGAGAGGGUGACCGGUCACAUUUGGACUGAGAUACGGCCCAGACUCCUACGGGAGGCAGCAGUGGGGAAUAUUGCACAAUGGGCGCAAGCCUGAUGCAGCGACGCCGCGUGAGGGAUGGAGGCCUUCGGGUUGUGAACCUCUUUCGCCCGUGGUCAAGCCGCGACGUGGGUCGUGGUGAGGGUAGUGGGUAAAGAAGCGCCGGCUAACUACGUG